rnacentral:rRNA from 1 species
AGGGUUUGAUCAUGGCUCAGAACGUACGCUGGCGGCACGCCUAACACAUGCAAGUCGAACGAAGUAGCAAUACUUAGUGGCGAACGGGUGAGUAUAAUGUGGGUAUCUGCCCUUUGGUUUGGAAUAACACGAGGAAACUUGUGCUAAUACCAGAUAAGCCUUCACAGGGAAAGCUUUAGCGCCGAAGGAUGAGCCCGCACUUGAUUAGCUAGUUGGUGAGGUAAUAGCUCACCAAGGCAACGAUCAAUAGCUGUUCUUAGAGGAAGACCAGCCACAUUGGGACUGAGACACGGCCCAAACUCCUACGGGAGGCAGCAGUGGGGAAUCUUGCACAAUGGGGGAAACCCUGAUGCAGCGAUGCCGCGUGAGUGAAGAAGGCCCUUGGGUUGUAAAGCUCUUUCGUCGGGGAAGAAAAUGACUGUACCCGAAUAAGAAGGUCCGGCUAACUUCGUGCCAGCAGCCGCGGUAAUACGAAGGGACCUAGCGUAGUUCGGAAUUACUGGGCUUAAAGAGCUCGUAGGUGGUUAAGAAAGUUGGUGGUGAAAUCCCAAGGCUUAACCUUGGAACUGCCACCAAAACUUUUUGACUAGAGUAUGAUAGAGGUAAGUGGAAUUUCUAGUGUAGAGGUGAAAUUCGUAGAUAUUAGAAAGAACACCAAUUGCGAA